rnacentral:rRNA from 1 species
UCAAGCGAAGAAGAGCAUAUGGAGAAUGCCUUGGCAUUGGGAGCCGAUGAAGGACGUGACAAGCUGCGAAAAGCUGCGGGGAGCUGCAAAUAAGCUAUGAGCCGCAGAUAUCCGAAUGUGGGAACACACAUGAUGAAGAAUCAUGAAUCCGUAACUGAAUAAAUAGGUUGCGGAGGGGAACCCCCCGAACUGAAACAUCUAAGUAGGGGGAGGAAGAGAAAUCAAACGAGAUUCCGCCAGUAGUGGCGAGCGAACGCGGAAGAGGCCAAACCGAGAGUAGCAAUAUUUUCGGGGUUUAGGACCGUCAAGAAACCAUGGAAGCUAACCGAACAGCAUGGGAAGGCUGACCGGAGAGUGUGAGAGUCACUUAGGUGAAAGCUGAAAUGGAGGGACGGUAUCCAGAGUACCUACGGACACGAGGAAUCCGUAGGGAAGACGGGUGGACCAUCAUCCAAGCCUAAAUACUACCCAAUGACCGAUAGAGGAGAAGUACCGUGAGGGAAAGGUGAAAAGAACCGCGGGAGCGGAGUGAAAAGAACCUGAAACCAUAUGUUUACAAGCACACAAAGCACGUUAAAGUGCGAUGUGGUACCUUUUGUAGAAUGGUCCGGCGAGUUAUUGUAAGCAGCGAGGUUAAGGACUUAAGGUCUGAAGCCGAAGGGAAACCGAGUAUGAAAAGUACGCGAGUUGCUUGCAAUAGACCCGAAACCGGGUGACCUAUCCAUGUCCAGGUUGAAGGUAACGUAAAAGUUACUGGAGGACCGAACCGACCCCCGUUGAAAAGUUGGCGGAUGAGGUGUGGAUAGCGGAGAAAUUCCAAUCGAACCCGGAUAUAGCUGGUUCUCCCCGAAAUAGCUUUAGGGCUAGCCUCGCAUAUAUUUACCGGAGGUAAAGCACUGAAUAGGUGAGGGGUCGAGAGAUUACCAACCCUUAUCAAACUAAGAAUGCCGGAUAAAUGAGUGCGGGAGUCAGACUGUGUGAGAUAAGUCUCACGGUCAAAAGGGAAACAGCCCAGACCCACAGCUAAGGUCCCCAAUAUAUGCUAAGUGGAGAAGGAUGUGGCAAUGCAAAGACAACCAGGACGUUGGCUUAGAAGCAGCCACUCAUUCAAAGAGUGCGUAAUAGCUCACUGGUCGAGUGAUGCUGCGCCGAAGAUUUAACGGGGCUAAAGCAUAUAACCGAAGCUUGGGAAUCUCUAGGGAUUGGUAGGGGAGCGUCGAAUUAGGGGUGAAGCAUCAGCGGAAGCAGAUGUGGACUUAAUUCGAGUGAGAAUGCCGGAAUGAGUAGCGAGAAUUGCGUGAGAAUCGUAAUGGCCGAAAAUCUAAGGUUUCCGUGGGAAGGUUCGUCCGCCACGGGUAAGCCGGGGGCUAAGGCGAGGCCGAAAGGCGUAGUCGAUGCACAUACGGUAGAUAUUCCGUAGCCGUCUAAGUUUAAGCACACUGACAUGUAUCCGGACUGUGACCCGAGCGUUGGUAGACUCGGGCGAAAGGGACUGAAAAAUAGUAGGGAAGCACAGGAAAGAUAUAGCGAGAAAAGGUGUGAGGAAUACGAAAGGCGCCCGUACCGCAAACCGACACAGGUAGAUGAGGAGAGAAUCCUAAGGCCAACGGGAGAAGGGUUGUUAAGGAACUCGGCAAAUUAACCCCGUAACUUCGGAAUAAGGGGUGCCACUGAAAGGUGGUCGCAGUGAAAAGGCCCAGGCGACUGUUUAUCAAAAACACAGGUCUCUGCAAAAUCGAAAGGUGAAGUAUAGGGGCUGACGCCUGCCCGGUGCUGGAAGGUCAAGGGGAAUGCUUAGAGCAAUCGAAGGCAUGAACUUAAGCCCCAGUAAACGGCGGCCGUAACUAUAACGGUCCUAAGGUAGCGAAAUUCCUUGCCAGGUAAGUUCUGACCUGCACGAAUGGCGUAACGAUCUGGGCACUGUCUCAACAGCCUACCCGGCGAAAUUGUAGUACCGGUGAAGAUGCCGGUUACCCGCGACUAGACGGAAAGACCCCAUGGAGCUUUACUGUAGCCUGAUACUGAUAUUUGAUCCAUUAUGUACAGGAUAGGUGGGAGACUGGGAAGCAUAGGCGUCAGCUUGUGUGGAGUCGACCUUGGGAUACCACUCUUGAUGGAUAGGUAUUCUAACCUGCAGCCGUGAAUCCGGUUGGGGGACAAUGUCAGGUGGGCAGUUUGACUGGGGCGGUCGCCUCCAAAAGAGUAACGGAGGCGUUCAAAGGUCAGCUCAGCGCGGACGGAAAUCGCGCAA